GAUAAACGCUGGCGGCGUGCCUAAUACAUGCACGUCGAGCGAACGGACGAGAAGCUUGCUUCUCUGAUGUUAGCGGCGGACGGGUGAGUAACACGUGGAUAACCUACCUAUAAGACUGGGAUAACUUCGGGAAACCGGAGCUAAUACCGGAUAAUAUUUUGAACCGCAUGGUUCAAAAGUGAAAGACGGUCUUGCUGUCACUUAUAGAUGGAUCCGCGCUGCAUUAGCUAGUUGGUAAGGUAACGGCUUACCAAGGCAACGAUGCAUAGCCGACCUGAGAGGGUGAUCGGCCACACUGGAACUGAGACACGGUCCAGACUCCUACGGGAGGCAGCAGUAGGGAAUCUUCCGCAAUGGGCGAAAGCCUGACGGAGCAACGCCGCGUGAGUGAUGAAGGUCUUCGGAUCGUAAAACUCUGUUAUUAGGGAAGAACAUAUGUGUAAGUAACUGUGCACAUCUUGACGGUACCUAAUCAGAAAGCCACGGCUAACUACGUGCCAGCAGCCGCGGUAAUACGUGGGUGGCAAGCGUCAUCCGGAAUUAUUGGGCGUAAAGCGCGCGUAGGCGGUUUUUUAAGUCUGAUGUGAAAGCCCACGGCUCAACCGUGGAGGGUCAUUGGAAACUGGAAAACUUGAGUGCAGAAGAGGAAAGUGGAAUUCCAUGUGUAGCGGUGAAAUGCGCAGAGAUAUGGAGGAACACCAGUGGCGAAGGCGACUUUCUGGUCUGUAACUGACGCUGAUGUGCGAAAGCGUGGGGAUCAAACAGGAUUAGAUACCCUGGUAGUCCACGCCGUAAACGAUGAGUGCUAAGUGUUAGGGGGUUUCCGCCCCUUAGUGCUGCAGCUAACGCAUUAAGCACUCCGCCUGGGGAGUACGACCGCAAGGUUGAAACUCAAAGGAAUUGACGGGGACCCGCACAAGCGGUGGAGCAUGUGGUUUAAUUCGAAGCAACGCGAAGAACCUUACCAAAUCUUGACAUCCUUUGACAACUCUAGAGAUAGAGCCUUCCCCUUCGGGGGACAAAGUGACAGGUGGUGCAUGGUUGUCGUCAGCUCGUGUCGUGAGAUGUUGGGUUAAGUCCCGCAACGAGCGCAACCCUUAAGCUUAGUUGCCAUCAUUAAGUUGGGCACUCUAAGUUGACUGCCGGUGACAAACCGGAGGAAGGUGGGGAUGACGUCAAAUCAUCAUGCCCCUUAUGAUUUGGGCUACACACGUGCUACAAUGGACAAUACAAAGGGCAGCGAAACCGCGAGGUCAAGCAAAUCCCAUAAAGUUGUUCUCAGUUCGGAUUGUAGUCUGCAACUCGACUACAUGAAGCUGGAAUCGCUAGUAAUCGUAGAUCAGCAUGCUACGGUGAAUACGUUCCCGGGUCU
rnacentral:rRNA from 1 species